GAUGAAGAACGCAGCGAAAUGCGAUACGUAAUGUGAAUUGCAAAUUCAGUGAAUCAUCGAGUCUUUGAACGCACAUUGCGCCCCCUGGUAUUCCGGGGGGCAUGCCUGUCCGAGCGUCAUUGCUGCCCUCAAGCACGGCUUGUGUGUUGGGCCCCGUCCUUCGAUCCCGGGGGACGGGCCCGAAAGGCAGCGGCGGCACCGCGUCCGGUCCUCGAGCGUAUGGGGCUUUGUCACCCGCUCUGUAGGCCCGGCCGGCGCUUGCCGAUCAACCCAAAUUUUUAUCCAGGUUGACCUCGGAUCAGGUAGGGAUACCCGCUGAACUUAAGCAUAUCAAUAAGCGGAGGA
rnacentral:misc_RNA from 1 species